AGUGAACGCUGGCGGUAGGCCUAACACAUGCAAGUCGAACGGCAGCACAGUAAGAGCUUGCUCUUACGGGUGGCGAGUGGCGGACGGGUGAGGAAUACAUCGGAAUCUACCUUUUCGUGGGGGAUAACGUAGGGAAACUUACGCUAAUACCGCAUACGACCUACGGGUGAAAGCAGGGGAUCUUCGGACCUCGCGCGAUUGAAUGAGCCGAUGUCGGAUUAGCUAGUUGGCGGGGUAAAGGCCCACCAAGGCGACGAUCCGUAGCUGGUCUGAGAGGAUGAUCAGCCACACUGGAACUGAGACACGGUCCAGACUCCUACGGGAGGCAGCAGUGGGGAAUAUUGGACAAUGGGCGCAAGCCUGAUCCAGCCAUACCGCGUGGGUGAAGAAGGCCUUCGGGUUGUAAAGCCCUUUUGUUGGGAAAGAAAAGCAGCAGGUUAAUACCCCGCUGUUCUGACGGUACCCAAAGAAUAAGCACCGGCUAACUUCGUG
rnacentral:rRNA from 1 species